AGAGUUUGAUCCUGGCUCAGAACGAACGCUGGCGGCGUGGAUUAGGCAUGCAAGUCGAACGAGGAUAUAUCCUUCGGGAUAUAAGCCGAGUGGCACAAGGGUGAGUAAUGCAUAGAUUACCUACCUUUAGGAUAAGAGCAACUUUGUGAAAACGGAGCUAAUACUUAAUAAUACAAAAGAAAAUAAUUUUCUUUUGUCAAAGGGAGGGUAGUAAUAUCUUUCGCCUAGAGAGGGGUUUAUGUCCUAUCAGCUUGUUGGUGGGGUAAUGGCCUACCAAGGCGAAGACGGGUAGCCGGUUUAAGAGGAUGGUCGGCCACACUGGGACUGAGACACUGCCCAGACUUCUACGGAAGGCUGCAGUCGAGAAUCUUUCGCAAUGCCCGAAAGGGUGACGAAGCGACGCCGCGUGGGUGAGGAAGGCCUUCGGGUUGUAAAACCCUGUCAGGAGUUAUGAAAUGUAAGUUCGUUAGUACCGUACUUAUUUGACAAAGGCUCCAAAGGAAGCCACGGCUAACUCUGUGCCAGCAGCCGCGGUAAUACAGAGGUGGCGAGCGUUGUUCGGAAUUAUUGGGCGUAAAGAGCACGUAGGUGGGUUUGCAAGUCAGAUGUGAAAGCCUUCUGUUCAACGGAAGAAUUGCAUCUGAAACUGCUAAUCUUGAGUAUAGGAGGGGAGAAUGGAACUUCUGGUGGAGCGGUGAAAUGCGUAGAUAUCAGAAGGAACGCCGGCGGCGAAAGCGAUUCUCUGGCCUAUUACUGACACUCAGUGUGCGAAAGCUAGGGGAGCAAACGGAAUUAGAUACCCCGGUAGUCCUAGCCGUAAACGAUGGGCACUAAGUAGAGGGAAUUACCGAUGUUCUCUCUGCCGUAGCUAACGCAUUAAGUGCCCCGCCUGGGGAGUACGGCCGCAAGGCUAAAACUCAAAAGAAUUGACGGGGGCUCGCACAAGCGGUGGAGCAUGUGGCUUAAUUCGAUGCAACGCGAAAAACCUUACCGGGGCUUGACAUGAUAGAAGUAGGAACCUGAAAGGGGGACGAACGGUAUCCAGUCCGUAGCUAUUACAGGUGUUGCAUGGCUGUCGUCAGCUCGUGUCGUGAGACGUUGGGUUAAGUCCCCUAACGAGCGAAACCCUUGUUUUUAGUUACCAGCGGGUUAUGCCGGGUACUCUAGAAAGACUGCCGUCGUCAAGACGGAGGAAGGUGGGGAUGACGUCAAGUCAUCAUGGCCCUUAUGCCCCGGGCUGCACACGUGCUACAAUGGUCGGUACAAACGGAAGCGAAGCCGAGAGGUGAAGCGAAUCCUAAAAAGCCGAUCUCAGUUCGGAUUGGAGGCUGAAAUUCGCCUCCAUGAAGUUGGAAUCGCUAGUAAUCGCGGAUCAGCAAUGUCGCGGUGAAUAUGUACCCGAGCCUUGUACACACCGCCCGUCAAGCCACCCAAGCAGGAUGCACCCGAAAACAUUAUAUCUAACCAGGGCAACUUGGAGGAAAAUGUUGAAGGAGUGUUUUGUGAGGAGGACUAAGUCGUAACAAGGUAACC
rnacentral:rRNA from 1 species